GCGAAAGUGGCGGAAUUGGUAGACGCACCAGAUUUAGGUUCUGGCGCCGUAAGGUGUGAGAGUUCAAGUCUCUCCUUCCGCACCA
rnacentral:tRNA from 1 species